ACUGUCACCUUUGGCUUGCUUAGUUGGGGACGCUUGACUGAUUGAACAGACGCUAUUGGAAGAGAGCUGAACUGGAUGAUGACAUCACUGAAUCAAUAAACUGACCUUAGCUGGAAAAAUGACUAUUUGUUAAUGUCCUACUGCAUUACUGACAAACCAUUUUCCUGUUUGACACUGUAAAGCUGCUUUGACACAAUCAGUAUUGUUUAAAGCGAUAUACAAAUAAAGUUGAAUUGACUUGACUUUACAUGAGUUCAUGUGUAGGCCUAGUGAGGAAUGAUUUGGCCACAAAAAAAAAAAAAAAACACUAACCCAUGUUGUAAUGGGUAAAUGGAACGGAAUGCUGACAAGAGGAAAAAGAUUAAAAAGGGGAAGAUUCACUUCCACUAGGUCCAAAAAAUAUGCUGUGAUGAAACAAACCUCUUAACCCACCUGAUAUUUCAUUUAUUUCAUAUGAGUAAGCGUAAAACCACAACUUGGUGUCUGCAGUCUCACAGUAUAAUUGAAACGGGUUAAGUUCAUGUCACUCCUCCCCUAAAACCUACAACUCACCUCUCAUUUGUCAGCUAACUUCAGAACAGAAAAGACUGAACCUGAGAACAGUAAUACAUACAUUGCUGCAGACUCCAAGGCAGAAAGAAAAUUACAAUCAAAAUCCAAUAAUCUACUCUCAAAUGGAUCGCAGCCAGCCUUUCAGUCACACACGUCCAUAUCCAGGACAGUCUGGGGUCACUGUACAGCCUCCAGUUUUUGUGACCACUGCUCCACUGGCCAGACCAGUGCCAGAUCACUUGGGCUACUCCAUCUUCACCUUUCUGUGCUGCUGUUUUCCUCUGGGCAUUGCUGCAAUAGUUUUCUCCUGCUUUACUCGAGAUGCCAUCUACUCAGGACAGCAAGAAUUAGCAAAGAAGCAUUCCAAAACAGCGCUCAUGCUGAAUCAUAUCGGCCUUGGGAUUGGCUUGGUUAUUAUUGUAUUGAUUAUUAUCAACCACAUGAUGAAAUGAAGAUAAAAGCUUUUAGAGCUGAAAUGGCUGGAAGCAUCUUAAAAACAGAUUUGUUUUUCUUUAUUUUAAAUGUUACUUGUUCAAUUUAUAAUUAUUCUUAUGCUUUUAGGCUGAUUAUUCUAUGUUUAAACCAAGGCUACCAUGCAGUUUUCUGUUCUCUUUACUUCUAAAAUGUUUUGUUUAGACUUUUGGCUCAUUUUAAAUAUAUUGUGUGCAGCUGUGCUUGUUUGAUUCAGUGAUCAACCAACCAACCAAGUUUUAGUCAAAUACAGUACUCAAAUCAGAAAGUGCAUUAUGGGAACACCAGUAUCAGAAAAGUUGAGUAGAUUUUACUCAAUAUAAAAUUGCUUUUUUUAUUGCCUGAACUAACUUUUUCAUGUAGAAAUUAAACUUGUUUUUCUGUAGUAUUUACUUCACCACAGAAUCAUUUUUAUCAGUGUAGCAUGGAGUGCUGACAGAAAGAAAACUAGUUUGGUAUGAUGGCUAGAAUUAUUUAUUUUUUCUAAAUAAGACAACAAUUUGCUAUAUUUCUAAUACCAUAUUGUAAUACAGUCCUUGUCCAAAAAUAAAUAACUAAAUAAAUAAAACUUUUUGAACAAUUAGGUGUAGAUGUAGUUUUGAAAAAGUGACCUAUUUUGAGAGAUGUUUCCCAGCGAUUGUAAAUAAAACGAAUCUCUUUUUGAUUGAUCUUUGAGAAAAUAUUUUUUUUUUGUUUGUUUGUUUUUUUGAGAUACUGAAUUCUGUUGUCGCUCUGGUUUUAUAUCCCUCCAUCUCCUCCGUGGGACUCGAGACCGGUGGGUCGAUUAGGUGUUGCUCAUUUCCAAUCACUCCUGUUCCAAACGUUUCUCGGCCCCGCCCCACUCGUCACAAUAAUCAUUUAUAACAACAUCCAGAUGCGACAUAGACCUCUAUUAUCUCAAUCAAGAAUAAAUUGCAAAAGUGUUCAGUAUUCUGCAAGAAAUAUGUUUCAGAUUUUCUUGACUAUUUUAAGUGGUAAAGUAAGCAGUAUGUAUUAAAAUCUCACCCGUAGCUUUAGCAAUAGCCUACAUGAUACUAAGCGGUGCAGACGGUGCCUGAGAGCUAGGGGAGAGCAGGGUCGAAAAGUAACAUGAGAUGAAAGUCACAAAGCGAUUGUCUCAGAGCUAUGGAGUUUCGAUAGGAGUUAAAUGCAUAAAUCACACCUCAUAUAAAUUACACCUCAUAAUCUGCCACAUUACAGUUCGAUUGUCUGAACAUGACGUCUAUGUGACGUCUUCGUGUCGUCUGGGUUCUUCCGUUUUUUUUUGUUUUUGUUUUUUUGUCUAUUGUUUUUAAUCUAGGGUAAAAAAUAAUAAUAAUUAGUAUGGUGAAAUGCAUGAAGUGUUUUUCUUUUUUUUCUUAUCAAUAGAUUUCAUUUUAGGCAAGUCGCGUUGAUUUGAGAAGAAGGCAAAAUUGAUCAAACAUACUGUAUGCUCAUGGAGCUUCCUGCCGCUGGUCUUUUGGCUGUUUCUUAGAAAAAACAAAAACAAAAAAAAAAAUCCCAGAAUUUAACAAACAUAAAAUAUUUCUAAAUUAAAUUAAUAGAGCAAAGAAAAUAGAUGACCACUUUGCCAUUAAAAAAAAAAAACUGAAAUAUUGUAAUGGCUGUAUCAUCAGCUGUGUAUGGGAAAGAGAGAGAGAAAAAGAUGAGAUCCAGUCAGACUCGGGACUAGAAUUCUGAUGAGCUGUGCAGGGCUCUCUAUUCGUUCCCUUGUUUGUUGACCCCCAACCUGCCCGGACCCUUAUGCACCUUCAUACCCUGCUGCAUAGACGUGCCACUGGCCUAUAGCCUAUAUUUAUUUAAUAUCACACAAAGAGUAAAAAAUUUUCUCUCUCGCAAAAUUUUUUGUCUAUGUAUUUUAUUAUUAUAUUACAGCAACAGUCUCAGAUCUAGCAGCCGAUUGUGAUCGAUGAGUUGGCCAUAAAGACGAUCAAGUAGCCUACUGUAGGCUACAUAAAAAAUGUACAAAAAAAGAUAAAAACACAAUAACCCUUAAAUGUAGUUUCAAAAAGAAUUUCAUAAAAAUAAACGUAGUUUAGGUAGGCCUAUCCUGUAAGCAACACAAACUCAAAUGAAUGUAAGUAAUUUUAUGUUUGGGGAAUAAAUUUUUAUUUUUUUCUCAUAACUUUAUAAAACAUAAAACAAAAAUAGACACAAUUAUUUAGAUUCUCCUG
ensembl:lncRNA